UUGAUGGUGUGAUAAAUGAUAAAAUCAUCUACAUAAGGAUAUAUAAAGAAUAAAGUUCUUGUAUAUAGAUUAAGCAAAGUGGCAUUAGCAACAUGUGGAAUAGAUUGAAACAUAUCCCCUCCUACAUAACACAAAAUUCUCACUUUUUUGGCAUGUCAGCAACAUCAUGUGGAAGAUCAAGGACAGUGCAUUUCAAGUGAGGAAAUGCCUCCAAAAUGAAACAUCUCAUUUUCUGAAACAUCCUAACGUUUAUUUCUAAAAUGCAGGAAAAACCACACUUCCCAGUGCAAGGGCAAUGCAGCUUCUGAAGUGAAUACUACUGCCCUGCAUCCAUAAACAUCUUCAUGAGAUUCAUAUCAACAAAGCUUGAUAUAUUCUACAAACUGAUCAGGUAAAAUAUGAAACAAUACUCUUGCAUCCACCUUUGCAACAUUACUUUCAAUUAUUUGGAAAUCCUAAUUUAUUUGAGCAUCUCGAUCCUGCAAACUACAAAAACAUCACAACCCAAUUUAAGAGAUGAUCGGCGCUCGGAUUUUAAAGAAAAUCGGACAAAGUUUUCCUAUAUCUAGGGAUAUCAAUAUUUUCCUGUCUCAACUAGAAUCAUACAACACUACAAAGUCCACAACCACUACUAACUUCCCUCUUGUAAAACACUAACUCCAUCACCAAAGAAAAGUAGAAAAGUUGUACUUAUAAGUCUUACGAUAACCAAAAUACUCAUGAACUUAACAAAAGGAGCAAUCCUAAGAGGUUAAAAGAACGGACAACAAUAAUGACAAACUCUUCACUCCAGCUAAGCAGCAUGGGGUUCAAAAAGUGCUAUCAAAACUCUCAUGUCUCGGCUAAAAUCACAACACAAAAAGCACCCAUCAAAAAAGUCACCAAAAUUACUAACCUCCCAUUAAUAACACAAUAAUACUAGGUCCAUCACGAAAAUUUAAAUAAAAAAAUUUUCAACUGACAUUAAAAGUGUUACGAUAACCAAAGUACUCAUGAAAACUAACAAAGCAAUCCUAAGAGUUCAAGGAAAGGACAUGAAUAAAUGAUAAAGACCUCUUCUCCUGCGCAAACUAACAAGGGGCUCGCUCUAGAUAGGAAGAUCCUCGUCUACCUCAAUAGGAUGUCUCUGCAAAACGAUAGAAAAAAAAGUGAGUCGCAUAGCUUAAGGGCAAUGCAGCUUCCGGAGUGAAUACUAGUGCCCUGCUUCCACAAACAUCAUCAAGAGGUUCAUAUCAACAAAGCUUGAUAUUCUACAAACUGAUCAGGUAAAAUAUGAACAAUACUCUUGCAUCCACCUUUGCAACAUUACUUUCAAUGAUUUGGAAAUUCUAAUUUAGUACGAUAACCAAAGUACUCAUGAAAACUAACAAAGCAAUCCUAAGAGUUCAAGGAAAGGACAUGAAUAAAUGAUAAAGACCUCUUCUCCUGCGCAAACCAACAAGGGGCUCGCCGAUACUAUCUACUUUGCAAGCUCUAGAUAGGAAGGUCCUUGUCUACCUCAAUAGGAUGUCUCUGUAAAACAAUAGAAAAAAAGUGAGUCGCAUAGCUUAAUGAGUAGAUAACGCUUACCAACAACUACGUUGUAUGGACACAAGUCAAGAAGCACGCUAGUACAUAGUAUUCACAAAAUAUAUUAAAAAUUCCUUUCCUUAUAACAAUCACUAGUGAUAUAUUAUAUCAUGAAUACAUCAUACAUAAGGUAACGAUGCAGUAAGAGACAUGCAUCAUCCUACCCUCGUCAUAAAAAUCAUAAGUUAUGUAAAAUACGGUGUCACAAUCAACUAUGUAGGUUUGAGAAGCUUACAAUAGUAUACCAUGUAAACAACAGGCAACCAAAAAAUCAAAUCAUGAAAAUGAGGUUUUUAUGAAGAACUUCUGACACACAUUGGCAGCCAUUGCUAUGAAGCAAGGAUCCAACAAAAGAAUCAUGGAUUUAAGGAAAAAAUUCAAGAUUAAGAGUUCUUUUUUCUCACAUUUUACGUUCUCUUGCACCUAUGAAAUUUUUGUGGCUUCAAUACUAUUUUAUCAGAAUCAUACUCCGCUAAGGAGUGGCUUUCUUUUAGUAGGAUUUAGAUGGAUCCUAAGAUUUAAUUUUAUGGAUUAAUUUCUUUGUUUCAUCUAAUGUUGAUUUGAUUAAUAUUUCUUAGUGCAGUUUUGAAAUUCUAAUUGAAAGAAGCUGUUUGAAUCCUUCACAUUCUCACCUAGGCUUAACAACAAAAAAUGAAUAGUUAGUUUCCCACAAGUAGGGUUUGAGGAGGGUAAGAUGUACGCAGCCUUUCCCCUACCCCUAAAAAGGCAGAGAGGUUGUUCCCGAUAGACCCUCGACACAUUCUCACCUACGCUUGAAUGAUCAUAAUUUGUUUUUUCUUAUCCUGAACGCGAGCAAAGGCUAGUCUUGAACCUACUUGCUAUCACAUCUAGGUAACUAAAAGAGUUUAUAUCUAUUUGUGGGACCUAAGGUGGGUUAGUCAAUCAUCUUCAACACUUAAGGUGAUUUAAACACUAUUUCUUAAUCGUGAAAGGUACAGCUAGUGAGGAAGAUUAUAAUAGUUUGGCAUAUUUUAAAGAAAGACCAAAUAACUUAGAAAGUGAAUAGACUAAAUAGGAAUGUUAAAGAAGAAUGAAGAUCAUAUGUUAGUCAAAGGCGAAAUCCAUAUCCAAACAUUUUUUUGCUUGUUAGAAUCUCCAACCAUAAAUUCUGCCUCCAGAACUUUGGCAUGUUUCAAUUCACUUUAGUUAUAGGAUUGUUCAUAAAGUUAUCUAAUUUUUAAAGUUGUGUUUAGGAAACAUUAAUUAGUUAAUUAGAAACCCCAAUCCUCGUAGGAUCAACAAUAAUUUAUACCAUCUUUGAAAAGUGCAAGCUUUAGCUUUCUACUAAGAUUUUUUUUACUCACAAUACAAGCGUGUCUAGCUCAAGCAUAUCGUUCACGAGCAAUCGGGAACAUUACCUUCAAUCAUUCUAUAACUACAUUGCACUAAUCUAGUGUCAAUUUGUUUAGAAAGAGUGUUCAUUAUAUCCCUAUAUAGACUCAUCCAUAACAAAUUCCCAAUACUGAACCCUCUUAGUUUCAUCUUUGACCCUCAUAUCAUCAAAUUGUGUUUUACUCAUGCCAUGGGUAACCAAAAUCAAUCAAUAAUUUCCCACUUCUCAAUUGGUUCAUAUCAUUUAUUCAUUGGAAUCGUGGAUAAUUUCAUGGAUACUAUUAGUUUCUUUAACCUUAGUUUCCCAAUCAAGGAACCAACAAUAACUAAGCCUCAAUCUCCAAAUAAGUUAGGGUCGACUAUAUCAGUCAUCACUGACCAUAUUUUCUAUUUAAAUUUAUCCCAGGAUAACAUUACAAACCAGAAAAUAAAAAUGAAAACUACUAAAAGGAAUCUCGAAUAGGGCUCACAAUUCAAGUAUAUGUUAAUAAGCAUGUAAAACAUAUCAUGCUCAAAUAAAGUCGUAGAAUCUCAAAGAGGAAUAAGAGACUCAUAGAAAGCAAAGAACCUAAGGUGAAUAGAUUAACACGACUACAAUAUAUCUUCAACUAAUUGGUAUCGCUUAUAUAAAUCUUCUGAAAAAUUACAUAAGUCGCCCCUAAGACUUAUCCCAAAACUCAAUGCUACACCUAAACUUCAAUGGCAAUCCCUUCGCCCUAUUAUGGUUCAGAGUGGAACUAAUACCUCCUUGAAAAUAAAAAAACCAAGCUUGUGAGGGCCACAUUUCACACUCCUCCAUAUGUCAAAUGCCACUUUAAUUUAUUUUUUUUAUUUCACUUUGUUUUUUUUAAGAUGAGUGAUUUUAAUAGUUUUGGGGGUAAGGAGGCGGUAAGGCCCCGAUAGUAAUGUGUUUCUAUCUCAUUGUUGGACAUAUAAAUGUUCAAUAGAACCUACCAAACUACCUUUAACUCUGGUAAAUAUUGUCCUAUCACGUAACACUCCAAAACCACUCAUCCAUUUCAACCAUCUAAUUUUGAUGGUAUGUACGUACAUCAUCUUCAGUUAUCAUUCCAUCCUCCUAGAACAACCAACCUCAAUAUCUAAAUUGUUUGCAUUAGGCACCACAAUCCCAUCUCAUCUGACCUCAACUCCACUUUCUUAAGCUAACUAAACUUGCAGUGCAUAAAUUCAAUCUUACUUCUACUUAUAUUAAAAUCUUUAUUCUCUAGAGUGUUUCCCCAUAGUUCAUGCUUUUGGUUGACACCCUGUUGGUUUCGUCAAUUAGCACAAUAUCAUUAACAAAUAGCACACAUUGUGGUACAUCCUCUUAUUUAUGUUGGUUAACUCAACCAUAAUUAGGGUACACAUGUACAAGCUUAAUGUCAGUUCCAGUCUGAACCUACGAUUAUGGAAAAGUCUUCUAAGCUCCUACUACUAUUUUAACUCUAGUAAAGGCUCCUUCAUAUAUGAUCUUUAAUGAAAUUCAAAUAUUUAACAUGAAUUUAUUUUUUAUCUAACACAAACCAAUGGACUCUCGUUGGUACUCUAUUAUAAGUUUUCUCCUGAACAUAAUGUGCAAAUCUUUCUUUCUGUCGUAAUAAAUUUCUAUCAAUUUUCUUUGCAAGCGUUACCGAACAUAAUCCAAACUAAUGUCAGUCACUCUUGUAGUGUCAUACGCUCCAUCACUCUUUUCCUAAAUUUCAUAGUAUUGACUCACAAAUUAAAUGCCACAAUAGUUUGUACAACUUUGAAUAACUCCUUUGAUCUUAUAAAAGUGAGAUCAUGGUACUCUUUCUCCACUCGUCGGGAAUCACACCACUUCUUAAUGUAGCAUUAAAUACAUUGGUAAACCAUUCUACUCUUACUUAUCUAAAGACACACCCAAACCUCUAUAGGAAUACCAUCUGGACCACAAACUUUCUUAAUCUUUAUAUUCCCAUGGUAUCCUUUACCUCUACGAGCGUAACUCCAUAAUAUAUAGCUUAAAUUCAUUGUGUGCAGAUGAAUGUAAAUCUUAAUUAUUAUUCUCGUGGUUCGAGUUUGAACAAUUAAUCAAAUAGACUCUUUAUCGCUUCAUGAUCUCAUUAUCUCCUAUCAAUACUUGACGAGAAUAGUCUUUAAUACACUUCACCAGGUUUAAAUAUGUUCUCUCAGUCAUACUCGUUUAGACAUCUCUUUCUCAUGUCCCUAACUUUUGAUACAACCCAUCUAGGGCUUCCUCUCAUUGCAAUUUUUUGAACAGUCGUAAGGCAUGCAUUUAAAGAAAAUACUUAAGGUUAGGUUAGGUCUCCAUUGACCUCAAAUCAAAGCUUAAAGACUUGAUGCUAGAAUUUCAUUACUCAACUAUUGCAUCCAAUCAUCUACAAUUGACGCGAGUCUACUUUGGAUGUGUGAGUCGAACCAUAUUAGUAGCAACUUAUACGCCCUACAUUAUUGUUAGUUUAAGUCUUGCUAGCAUAAAGAAACAUUUUAUUUAAGCCGAUGGGAAAAAUAAUGGAUAUUGAAAGCAUUUUCUUAAUGCCUUUUCAUAUGUUUAUGACUUUAGUUUUACUCUUAUAUAUGAAAAUUUUAAAUCUUCCAAAGUACGAAUUUUGAUACUAACUUCAUUUAAAGGAAAGAAUGAUCAUAAGAUUCAUUGCAUUGUAUAUGCUAACUCCAUUUAUCUUCGUGUCUUACAGGUUCAGUAAAGCCCCACAUUUAUUCGGUGGCGGCUUAUUUCUCUCUCGUUAUUAAUUCUUUAAAGGGUCAUGCCCCACUUCUAUCUUCAUUAAUAAAAUUCUAUCUUAACUUAAUGACACAUGAUAGGGUUCGUUUGCUUCAUUUAGAACCCCAAUAUAUGCUUUAUACAUAGUCAGGACAACAAGCUUAAAGAUUAGCUCCUUGGGACACCAGCCUUGUUGGGAUGAGUCCUAGGAGUUGAGUCAAGUAACAUUGUCUUAGUAAAGUCUUGUUUAUGGUUGUGUAGCACAUCACAAUUACAUACGGAGAGCUAUUUAGACAGGUUAGAGAGUCGAUUUCUUAUUUUGUUCACUCCACUCUUAGUAUUUACGUGCUUAGAGCCAAGCUACUAAACUAUUAUGUGGUUGUUAUAUAUACCUUGAUUGCAGUAAAAUUAGAAAGCGAUAGCCCCGCAAUAGAAACCAAUAGAUGUUCAAUGUAACUAAAGACAUGCCACUUACACCAAGGUUGUGGUAAAGGACCGAGUUAGACGGGUUGCCAGUCCCAAGUUAAAUCAAGUUAUGUAUACAUGGACUAUAAAUGGACUAUUGGAUGACUAGUUAGACAAGCUAAGGACUAUAGCUAGCAAGAGUGAGUGAUGGUACAUUAACCUAGUUAAAGGAAAUAGUUUUAGUUGGACUAAGAGAAGCGUAAUACGAGAAUUAUUUCACACCACAUCGCUUACAAAUAUAGUUGAGAACCCAGUUAGCUCCAACGUAACAUUAUAAGUUUGGAAAGAAACCACCAUGGGGUGACAUUCAUACAACUCUUUACAAACGAAAAGUGCUGACAUUGAGUUUAGGAACAUGGAUCGACUAUGCUUAUAUAAGGUGAGAAAAAGAAAAACACAACGAAAAUCCAAAUCAAUGGUAAUAGACCAUAGGAGUUACAAGAGCGAGUAUGAGAGUCGAGUAAAUUUUUUGUGAGUUGUGAAGGCCAGAUAGAGACAGUAAGACACCCUACUAUCCCUGAUACACAAAGAAAUUACUAUCAAUAUAAGAGGUUUAGAAACAAUGGGAAGAAUUUUCAAAUGACACUAGAACCCCCAUUACAAUGGCAAAAAGAAAAAUAUUAGUAUAUAUCUACCACAUUUGAGUAAAUGACUAUCUUAAAUUGUUUCAAUCAUAAAAUCCAUAUCCUAAUUAAUUAGUUAAAUCACACAUAAUAAGUUAAAUGAGAAAGAUGUCAUGUGUAUGCAUGUGACAUACUGUAAUGAUAUGUUUGGUCGUUUUGAGUUUUUAAGCUUUUUAUCUCCCAAAUACCCUUCACGUAGUUCCAUCCCGAAGUUUUGACUUGCUUGCAAAACUUGAAGUCAAAUGGAUAUCAUUUGGUUCAGUGUGGGAGAAGGUUCCACUUUAGAAGUUCUGGCAUUUAAUUACUUAGAUAAAUUCUUUAUUUCGGGAAAAUUUUAUUUAUGACUCUUCACAAUUGAUGGGGAUAAUUUUAGAGUUCAUUUGGUUGGUUUUUGACAAUUAGGUUAGUUUUAGCAUUUAAUAUGCCUAUUUAUGUUGAAAAGGUGGUCAUAAGAAAUAAUACUCGAAUUCGAAAUUUAUGGUUCCUAUAGCUUCAUAUUGAUAUUUAUGACUAACAGGAAUAUGUUGCGUGGUUCCCGAGGCAAUUGAGUGAGUUGUAGAUCGAAUUUGGUGGAAUAUGAAGUUCUUAGGUUAGGAAAGUGAGAAAAUUUGACCAAAUACAACAUCGGGAAAAAUGCGACUUUUUCGCGGUUUCGUAUUCCAUUAGGUCUGGAAUUUGAUUUUUUUACUUUGUCGAGCCAUUGGUUAAGCUUCAAAGAGGUUCCAGUGUGAUUUAGGUGAUUGGUUGAGAAACUAGCUUUUAUUUUAGAUGAUUUGGAGUUGACAACGAUCAAUAUCGGGGUCAAGACAGUCUGUUGGGGUGUUUUCAAAGUUCGAGAAGGUUCGUAUGAUGAUUUAGGAUUCGUCCAUAAGUUUUGAUGAGAUUCCAAUGAGUUUCAAAUUAAUUUGGGUUGUGUCGUGCUCAUAUUUGAGAUUCCGACGUUGUUUGGGCAAAGGGGGAACAAUAUUGAAAAAACGACCUUUUACUUGUGAUUCGAUUAAAACAUUAGAUCUGUAUCGUAAUUACGAAAUCAUAUAAAAAAUCGUCGAAUUCGGACAUCGUAUGAGGGAGUUAUCCCCAUUUUAGUGUCGGAGAGGAUAACUUGUGUUGGUGCUUCGUAGAUGCGUAGUGGGGUCCGUUCCCACGACUCCGCAGGUGCGAAAAAAUAGGUGCGAAAAUGACACUUGGCAGGACAUAGCUGAGAGUUAUUGGGCGCGGAAGCGGAUAUCACUGUGUAACUUUCGAGCAUAUCUUGAGUUCUAUAGCUCUGUUUGAGGUGAUUUUCCCAACGUUCUUGUCUCAAUAAAGUGGCAAGUAUCUAACCUUUAUUUUGAUGUUUCCUCAAGUUUAUUUCUGUUGGUUAUCGACUUUAGCAAUGUUUGGUUAGGAAAAUUUGGGGUUUUGAACCCAAAAUUUGAGAAGUGGUAAAAACCAUGGAUUUGAGAAUCGAGAUGAUGUUUAUGACUUGCGAGGAUAGGUUGCGUGGUUCCCAAGUGAAUCGGAAGUUAUGUAUCGCAAUUGGCGAAAUUGGAAGUUCCUAAGUUAAGGAAGUGAGAAAGUUUGACCAGAGUCUAGGGAGCAAAUGUUACUUUUUUGAAAUUUCGUCGAUUCCAUUUUGGUUCGGAAUGUAUUUUUUUGCUUGGUCGAGUUGUUAGCUUGGUUCCAGAGAGGUUCGUGUGUGAUUUAGGUGGUUGGUUGAGAAACUAGCUUUGGAGAUAAUUUGGAGUUGACCACGGUCUACAUCGCGUCUAUGCAGAUUAGUUUGGGUGUUUUAAGAGUUCGAGCAGCUACCUACGAUGAUUUUCGACUUGUCCACAAGUGUUGCUGAGAUUCUAAUGAGUUUCAAAUGGAUUUGGGUUAUGUAGCGCGUAUUUGAGUUGGACUGGCUUUUUGUUCAAGGGUAUGGUCUUUUCUUUGUUUGUAUCACCGAGACACCCAAAGGGCCGGCCAUAUGUACCUUGGAAGCCCCAGCCCAUUUAAAUCAAAAUAGAAUGAGCACCUACGACUAAGGGGAUUGAGAAAACUACUUUUAUUUAUUGAACCAUUAGAUCUGUAUCAUAAUCACACAACCACAACAAAACAAAAAAAUUGUCGAAUGGAACAUCGUAUGAGGGAGUUAUGCCCAUUUCAGGGUCGGAGAGGAUAUCUGGUGUUGCUGCGUGCACCUGCAUCCACUUUUCACUUGCGACCCCACAUGUGCGAAGAAAGGUCCGCAGGAGCGGAAAUGACACAUUGCAGGCCUCAUGUGCGAGUUAUUGGGUGCGGAAGCGAAAAUUGCUGUGUAUUAAAUAAUCAGACUGCGUUCAUUCAGUAUUUUGAGCAUACCUUGAGUUCUAGAGCUCCGUUAAAGGUGAUUUUCACGGCAUUGUUCACGUCUCAACAAAGGGGUAAGAAUCAUACCUUUAUUUUGAUGUUUCCUCAAGUUUAUUUGUAUUGGUAUCAAUUUUAUCCAUGUUUGGUUAGAGAAAAUUGGAGUUGUGAACCUAAAAGUUGAAAAGUGGUAAGCAGUUGAUUUGAGAAUCAAGAGGAAGGCGUUUUGAAUAGGUCUUAUGGAUCUACACUAAAUAAAAAGGUAAUUCGGUUUUUAAAUAAAAUUCCAAUUUCGCCCUUGGGGCUCGGUUGGGUAUUUUGGGUCCAUUUUUGGGUUCAAGUAUGGCCACAUGGGUAUCCAUGGAUUCGUAUUUCAACGUAGGGUUCAUAUUUGAUAGACGUUGACCAUUCAAAAGCACUAUGGAAAGGAAAGGUGUUGGCUUGGUGUUCGUGGCUCUUGGUCAGCUUCGAGGUAGGUUACGACUUAUCUUUAUUAGACUUCUGUUAGUUAAUGUAAUUGUAGAUGUUGAUGGGGAAGCAUAUUUGGCCUUCGAGCAUGGCUGUUGUGAUAAAUUCCACUUAGGUCUGUAUGAUUGUUGUUUAUGUGGGCUUUUCACCAUGAUUGCUCUACUUAUGACUAUUUUUGUUGAAACUAUUCGGCACACUAGAUUCUCACUUACUUCAUGAAAAAAAAGGAUAAAGAUUUGAUUAUUUGAGGUAUGAUUUGUAUCCAUGGCAUGUGGAUUCUGAUUCUGAGACAUUGUGCUAUUGUUGAGAUUGACUCCAUGUAUGAUGUACAUCCCAUUUUACAUUGUGAUUUGACAUAUGAUAUAUAUGUAUUCAUAUCAUACAUUUGUCGAAUAAGAUGUCGAAGGAAAUUAAGAUGAUGGUACAUGUUGUAAUGACUUGUGGAUCGGGUUGCACGCCGCAACAGGUAUGCACGUUAUGGAUCGAGUUGCACAAUGUAACUGGUACCUACGUUAUGAAUCGGGUUGCAGGUCGCAACGGGUAUGUACGUUAUGAAUUGAGUUGCACGUUGCAAUGGAUAUGUACGUUAUGGAUCAGGUUGCACGCCGCAACAUAAACAAAUAUAUGGGAUCGGGUUGCACGCUGCAACAAGGUCAUGUCAUGGACUUCACAGGUCCCCCAUGGGUCAUGACUUCGAGGCAUUGGCCUUCACAUGUGUGCACAUAUAUGGACAGUUGGCUAGUGCAAUGCAUUCCAUCUGCAUGAAAUUUCGUAUCUCUGCAUAGCAUAUUCAUGGAACUCUUGGUUGUUGAUUUACUUGAGUUGUUGCCUAUUUUGUCUAGUGCGUAUUUGGAGACUCAACGGAGUUGUGGAUUAGAAACUUUCAGCUAGGACUCUGACCUGGGUUUAUGGAGAUCUAUCAUGAUUAUUAUUACUGAACUUCUACUUGAACUUGAAUAUGGAAUUGUCAUUGACUUGACGGUUCCACUUGUCGCACUGUACUUGAUUAUCUUAUAUGCUCUAUUUGUUAAUUUUUGUAACUUCCAUGUGUUUAUCUUAUCGUUGUCGGCCUAUGAUAUCUACGGGGUAACGUUGCACUUUUGUUGAGCGUUGAGUUUGAUCCGGCUUCCGGUUUGAGACCUCGUGUUAGGCGAUUCAUCAAAGACGAUAGGGUGAGCUACUAGUUGGACCUACAGACCUAAAAUGUCUUCCUUAUGUUUCUGUCUAUCUUUCCCUGCCCUUGGACAAUACUUUAUGUAGUAUCGUUGAGACUUGUAUUUUAGUAUUUCAGACAUUGUAGUAAUUAUUAGAUGCUCUUGUAUAAGUCAGACCAGGUUUUGGGAAAUGCAUUUAUUAAGUUUGUUUUCGCAUAUUCAUGGCAAAACAAUUUUAGUAAUAUUUAUUUCUUUUCAUUUUCGUGGAUUAGAGUUGAUGAAGUUUGAGGGGCUAUGCGUAAGAUGAGCAUGGGCAAAGAGACAUGGCCAGAUGAUAUCCCGAUGGAGUUUCGGAAGAGCGCAGGCAAGGCAGGUGUGGAGCGGCUUACUAGGUUAUUUAAUGUCAUUUUUAGAACGAAUAAAAUGCCCGAAGAGUGGAGGUGGAGCACGAUGGUUCCUUUAUAAAAGAAAAAGAGUGAUAUCUAAAACUGGAGUAACUAUCAGGGUAUCAAGCUGCUUAGACAUACUAUGAAUGUCUGCGAGAGAGUGAUAGAGCUAAGGGUAAGGAGGAGUGUGUCUAUUUUCGAGAACCAGUUUGGGUUUAUGUCGGGACGUUUGACUACAAAAGCCAUCCACCUUGUUAGGAGAUUAAUGGAGCAGUAUAGGGAGAGAAAGAAGGACUUGCAUAUGUUCUUCAUCGACUUGGAAAAGGCAUACGAUAAAGUUCCUAUGGAGGUUUUGUGUAGAGGUUUGAAGGCUAGAGAUGUACCGGUUCCUACGUUAGGUUGUUUAAGGAAAUGUAUGAUAGAGUAAAGACCCGAGUGAGGACGGUGGGUGUAGACGAACCAUUUUUCGAUUAUAAUGGAGUUGCAUCACGGGUCAGCACUCGGCCCUUUUUGUUUGCUUUGGUGAUGGACGUACUGACGCGCCACAUCCACUGGGAGGUGCCGUGGUAUAUGCUAUUUGCAAAUGAUAUUGUAUUGAUUGACGAGAUGUGAAUGGUGUGAACGUGCAAUUAGAGAUAUGGAGACGGACCUUGGAAUCUAAAGGUUUCAAGUUGAGCGGGACCAAGACAGAAUACUUGGAGUGUAAGUUCAAUGGCGAGACUCAAGGAACGGAAGGGGAGGUAAGGUUGGACUCGCAGGUCAUCCCUAGGAGAGGGAGUUUUAAGUACCUUGGGCCUAUUAUUCAGGGCGGAUGGCGAGAUUGAUGAAUAUGUCACCCAUCGUAUUGGGGUGGGAUUAAUGAAAUGGAAACUCGUUUCCGGUGUGUUGUGUAACAAGAAGGUGCCACCGAAACUUAAGGGUAAGUUCUAUGGAGUGGUGGUCAAACAAACAAUGUUAUAUGGAGUUGAACGUUGGCCAGUCAAUAUUGCUCAUGUCCAGAAGAUGAAGGUAGCAAGGACUAGUAUGUUGAGAUGGAUAUGUGAGCACACCAGGUUAGACAAGAUCAGAAAUGAGGUUAUUCACGAAAAGUGGGUGUGGCCGCUAUUGAGGACAAGAUGCAGGAAUUGCGACUUAGGUGGUUCGGUCAUAUGAGGAGGAGGAGCACAGACACCCCGGUGAGGAGGUGCCACAGGUUGACAUUAGAGGCCCUACGAGGUAGAGGUAGGCCAAAGAAGAGGUGGGGCGAGGAGAUUAGGCAAGACAUGGCCCAACUUCAGCUGACCGAGGACAUAACCUUGAUAGGAAGGUAUGGCUAAAGACUGUAAAUAUGUGUAAGAAGAAGGGGCAUGAUGAUAUUGAAUGUUGGAUUAUUAUCCCGAGUUGCACAGGCAGUUUAAUGAACUAGUCGUUGAUAAAUGGAAGGAGAAGGAGGUUGUAGUUCCUACUACAGGUUCAACUAAGGUGUUAUCUAGUGGUAAGGUUGCUAAGAAGAUUCUUUCUAACCCUGGAAAACAAGAAUGGGUGCAAAAACAACAGAGGAAAUAUCAAAGUGAUAAGAGGGGACAUAUAAUUGACAAUGCAAAUGGUAAAGAGAUGACUAAUGUGACGGGGAAGGCCAAUGGCAAUAUGAUUUCAACUAACAAUGUAUUUGAAGCUUUGGCUAAUGAUGGUGAAGACCAUACUACAUUGGUGGUGCAUGAUAGAUAGGAGAAGGAAGCUAGCACAAAAUAGCUGAACCAUCCUAAAAAAACUGGGAACCCAAGCCCUAAGGCGAAGAAAACAAGGAUUCAAUUUGCGACAAUUGUGACAAACCCUAAUCUUAAAUCUACUGGGAUUGGGAAGGUGGCUAAUAAGAAAUAGACAGUAGAACACAGUAUUCAAAAUAGCGUGAAGCGAGAAAAAAGAGACAACCCCCCAUAACCCAUUUCACGAAAAGCGAGAAGCGAGAAACAAAGCGCCCGCUUUUUUGAAGUGCAGCGGAAUUAUAAAAAAAAAUAUGGCCUAGACAACACAUGUAAUUGUAAGCAAAUGUUCAAUACUUGAAUUAAAAAACUAAAGAGUAGCAUCAAUUAAAGCACAAAAAAAAACAUCAUAUUCUUCAAGAUUGUCAAGACUCAGCAUCAAUGAAACCACAAAUUGAGCAUCCUAUUCUUCUACAAGAUUGUCAAAGUCUUGUAUUCCAGUAUCAUUAUUGUAUUGCUCUUCAUCUUCUUCAAUUUCAUCUUCUUCAUCAACUUGGGUCAAAGUAGAAGUAGCUGCCUCUUUUCCCUUCUUGUGUGAACUUGAAGUUGAGGUACUCCCUCAAACCAUAAAUCCUCUCCCCAAUUCCACGCGCCUCCGCAACAUCACCCCAAGUGAUACCAGAAGUAUCAUCAAAUACUUCUUCAUCUGCAUGAUCUUCUGGGACUCCAGUUAGCCAUUCGUUAUCAUCGAUGUGGUCCAAACUAAUUGGAUCAAUUUCACCGCGAGCGUUAUAACGACGCCUCAAUGUUCUAUCGUACUUAAUGAAUACUAGAUCAUUGAGACGCUUCAAGGUUAGUUUGUUCCUCUUUUUGGUAUGAGUAUGCAAAUAAUAAAUAAUUAGUAAGAUUAGGACAAUUGAGAUAUAAUUUAAUUAUCUCAAUAUACUAAAUCUUUCUUAUUAGUUCUUACAUGCUCAAACACGCUCCAAUUCCUUUUACACCCGUGUGAGCUACAUGUUAGACUUAGAACCUUGAUUGCAAACUUUUGUAAAUCUGGAGAGGAAUAACCAAGCUGCUUCCACCAUUCAACUGUAGAAGUAGAACAAAUUUUUAAAACAUAAUAUUAAUAAAGAAAUAACUUAUUAACAAUAAAACAACAUAUAAGCACUUGAUCACCUGGUGACUUUGUCGUUCUUUGUCUAAUGGCCAUGCUUUUUCCAAAAAGUUGUUCAGUAUUCCUAUAAAUACUAAAUUGCACUGUGACUUUAUCUUGCACAGAUUCUUCAGGUACCAACUUCUAAAUGCAUUCAUAGUAUCCGGUCCACAAAGGUUCAUCUCCAAGGAUCCUCUCUUCAUUGGCAUAAAACAGUUCUAGGUUCAAAACAAGUCCAGCUGCAUGCAAAGGGCUAUGGAGCUUACUAUCCCACCUUUUAUCUAUGAUCUCAAAGACUCUUUUGUAUUUUCUUUGAUCACUAAAAGAGUCGAGAAUAGCCUCUUUUGCCCUAUCAAUUGCUGUGUACAAGUAGCCCAUUGGUGGCCUUUCUCCCCAUCCAACAAAUGAAGCACUUUGACUAAAGGACCACCAAUCUUCAAUGCAUGAACCACAUUGUUCCAGAAUGAAGUAGAAAGAAUAAUAUCUGCAGAUUCUCUCGCUCGAGCUUCCCUUCCAUAGGCACUGCUAGUGUACUCUUCUGAAACAAACAACUUCUUGAAAUUGCCUUUUUGCUCAUACAUCCUAGCCAAAGUCAAGAAAGCAGUAGCAAAUCUUGUCUUUGCAGGUUUCACCAAGCUUCUUUGUUGAGUGAAUCUCUUCAUCAUCAAUAAUAAAGGCCUUUGAACAAUAUAUGAAUGCACUCUAACUGUCUGAUUAAAGAAUGUACUGAAGGAUCUUUCCGUGAAAAUAUCACCAAAGAUCAAAUUAACAGAAUGUGCUGCACAAGGAGUCCAAUAGAUAUGCGGGUACGCAGUAGACAUCAAAUCACCAGCUUUAACAUUUUCACUGGCGUUGUCCGUGACAACUUGAACAACAUUUUCUGCUCCAAUAGAGUCUAUUGUAUUCUUGAACAAUGAGUAUAUUUUGGUUUGAAUCAGUUUAAGAGUCACUUGCAUCAACGGACUCAAGAAACAAGCUUCCAUUAGGAGAAUUCACCUAGAUAUUGAUGAUCAUUUUUCCAUUUCUCACCGCCCACUUAUCCAUCAUAAUGGAACAACCAAACUUGUUCCAUUGUACUUUGUGCUCCUCCACGAUUUUGUUAACCUCUGCCACCUUUUUUUUUAAUAUUUGCUCCAAUAGAAUCUAUUGUACUCUUGAACAAGGAGUACAUUUUGGUUGACUCAAGAAACAGGCUUCCCUUAGGAGAAUUCACCAAGAUAUUGAUGAUCAUUUUUCCAUUUCUCGCCAUCCAUUUAUCCAUCAUUAUGGAACAACCAAACUUGUUCCAUUCUACUUUGUGCUCCUCCACGAUUUUGUUCGCCUCUUCCACCUCCUUUUUUAGAUAUGGGCCACUAACUUCAUAAUAAGUUGGAGGCUUCAUUCCUGAACCAUAUUGGCCUACAACCUCAAUAAAAGCAACAAAAGUGUCCGUAUAAUUAACACAAUUAAAAGGAAGACCUGCAUCAUACAUCCACCGGGCAAAGCAGGAAACUGCACGGUCCCUCAAAAUCGCUUUUGCAUCAACUUGAGGAUGUCCACUUAUCCAUCAUAAUAGAACAACCAUACUUGUCUCAUUCUACUUUGUGCUCCUCCACGAUUUUGUUCACCUCUGCCACCUCUUUUUGUAGAUAUGGCCACUAACUUCAUAAUAAGUUGGAGGCUUCAUUCCUGAGCCAUAUUGGCCUACGACCUCAAUAAAAACAGCAAAAGUGUCAUUAUAAUUAAAACAAUUAAAAGGAAGCCCUACAUCAUACAUCCACCGGCCACAACAAGUAACCGCAGGGUCCAUGCCAUAUUGGCCUACGGCCUCAAUAAAAGCAGCAAAAGUGUCAUUAUAAUUAACACAAUUAAAAGGAAGACCUGCAUCACACAUCUAUCGGGCAAAGCAAGUAACUGCACGGUCUCUCAAAAUCUCUUUUGCAUCAACUUGAGGAUUACCACUUUUUCCUCCCUUAUCUCCAGAUUUUUGCGGGAAGUAAUAAUCCAUAGGACCUUUGGUCUUUCCACUGUUCCAGUAGAUCGAGAUCCACAACUAGAAAACAUUGAUGGAAGCAUCCUUCCCUGCUUUUGUGGAAGCGAUGAAGCAUCGUCACCUUCUUUUGUUUCAUCAUCAUCAUCAUCAACAUUAUAAAGUUCUUGUUCAUGCAUCAUUUGACUCUUUAACUCUUUCUUUUUUUGAAGGUAUGCUUUCAAUUCUUCCUUCAAGCCCCGGAACUUUGGGACAAGAUGCGACAUUUGGAUCACCACCGAUUAGAUGCGCUUCUUGACGAUAGAUUCCUCCAUUUGUAAUCUUAUUACAAAAAAGAUAUCGAAUUGCCAUCUUGUUAGUCUCGCUAGCUCUUACCGAUUAAGCCCAAGCCGAGUCUUUCGUAUCUUCUUUUGGCACCAUUAAAAUAUCAACUACAUAACACAUAAGAAAGGCAAUAAGAACUAAGAAUGAAAAAUAUAUACUUUGGCAGAAAUUUGGGAAGAAAUUUGGCCAGAUUAUGGGCAGAAAUGGGGCAUAAACUGAGUAGAAAAUUUCUAGAAAACAUUCUCCAGCAUUUGGUUCUAUUUGGAUGUUUAAAAAGAAAAAGAGAAAGAAAAAAAAGAUUAGAAGAAUAAGAAGAUUGAAUGAAAAUAAAAACAUACCUCUUGAGUUUUGAAACUUGCAAGUUGUCCUCUUUUUAUUGUAAUGUUGAAGAAGAAGAAGAAAAACCCUAGCUUGUUUGUUGUUAUGUUGAAGAAGAACAACUGAAGAAGAAAGACUUGCUCCUUCAAAACCCUAGAACGUUAGUGCUGCUGAACAGAACAGGUUUUGGGUGUUUUAAGUGAAAUAGACACGGAUAGGUCAUUAAAUUAAAGAAGCGACCACUUCUAGCGCUUCUUCCGCUUCUAUCGCUUCACACUUUUAGGCAGAAGCGCUCGCAUUAGUGUACCUGAGUCGCUUCUAACAGGGGAAGCGACUUACCUUCCGCCUCGCCUCGCUUCUCGCUUAAAGCGAGAAAGCGCCCACUUUCUUGAACACUGGUUGAACAGGUACAUAGGACCUUUGGCUAUUCAAUUGAGGUUCUUAAUGAGACCUUAAAACAGUCAUGCCAUGAGAUUCCUUCUCACACUUUAGAUGAUUCUGAAAAGAGAUCAAAGUUUUGUUGGUGCUACUGAUAAUGAUAGAGCUCUAUGGAGUGAUGAAAUAGAAAUCAUGGAGGAGACCAAUCAUGCAAAAAAACACUCAGAAAAACUAGAUGGAAGGUGGAGACAAACAGAAGAAGAAAAUUGGAAAUUAGGUACAGCUACUACAGUAAACCGAUAAUCCCACCGUAAUGCACCACUCAAUCCUAAUCUGGGUGUCUUGACUAAUCCAAUUAGGCCUGAGGUUAUUGGAAAUGCUAGUGGUGAUCAGGGUAUGCAAUUAGUUAUUGUGGUAAAUGCUGUGAAGAUUGGUAAUGAGUUGGUGAUAUCACGACCAAAGAUUAAAUCUUUGAAAUGUAGACAUCUUAGACAUAAACAUGAUACAUAAAAAAAAGGCUAGCCACAUAGGAUGAUUGAAUGGGCUAGCCACUUUGGCAGGAAGAGAGGUGGCUCAAUCUUCGUACUUUAUGUCUUCCUUCGAACUUGUAUAGAUAGUAAGAGGAAAGGAAUGAGUUCACCAACUCAAUUCAAAAUAAUUGUGAUAUCCCGACCAAAGAUAAAUCUUUGAAAUGUGGAUGUCUUACUAUAACUGAUCAAAUAGGUAGUCCAUAUGAGGCAAUGCUUACGUGUUACGACAUUCAAUCUUGUUCAACUUCCUGCAGUCAUGCACAUCCUUAAAGAUCCAUUAUCUUUAUUCACAAAGAGUACUGAUACACUCCCACGUUUAUAUGAUCGGUCGAUAAAACCCUAAUCGUGUUGAUCAUGAAAGUUUUCCUAGAGCUCUAACUCUGGUGGCGCCUUAUGACUUGAGAAUAUCAAUAUGGGUUGUGAAUAACGUGCCAGGUCAAUACAAAAAAUCUCUCCUAAUGUGCGGAUAGUACCAAUAAUCCUUAGGAAACACGCAUGCAAAUUAACUCGAUACUUGUGUUAGAUUAUGUUUUAAUGAUGCAAUUAAUAUGCAUGUGCAGGAGUUCAAAGAAGUAAAGAAGAACGACUGACAUGGCAUGUGUCGAACAAGGAAGGAACUCAUUCACUAAGGAAGCUACCAAACAAUUCAUGAUGAACAAUGAAAGCUAUUAAACUACAUCAGCAAAUCAGGAUUUGCUCCGUAGAACUGGGAAAUCAGAUCAGCUAUAACGAAGUGAGAAUAAUCAAAGAUUUGAGGAGAUCAGUAAUUAGCGAUAACUUGGAAGAAUAAUUGAUAGAAGAUCCGGUCAGUUAUUAUUUUUGGAAAAGCCCAGCAAUCAAGGAAAAAUCUCACUGAAUCGAUUGUCCGCCGAAGGAAAACAUAUCAAGAAGGGCAACGACUCCUUCCUUAUUCUUGGAAAGAAUCAAUUCUUUCCAAGGAUCAAAACCCUUGGGUUGACAAGCCGUCACCGUGUAUCUUAGUAUAAAUUCUCCUUGUAAAAUCAUCCCUAGAUAUACUUUGACCGAACCAAAUAACUCUCUUCAUUCCAUUGCAAACAAGCAUAGUAACCUACAUAGAUAUGUUGUGUAACAAGUCAGUGAUAGAAAGAGGGUACACAACUGGUGAGGCAUUGUAUCAAACGAGUGCUAGAGAACAUAAGCGAUACACAUCACAUCUGUACUCGAAAGAAAACUCAUUUGCUUGAAGAGAACUCCCUUGCAACCCAAGGGGACUGGAUUAGGAUUAACAUUGAAUCUGAACCAGUAUAAAAUUCCUAGUGUCUUUAAUUCCUGCAUUUACUUUCUGCAUAUUACUUUCAGUCAUUAUAUCUACAAUACUGUCAUAUUCAGUCAACUAUCAUAGUUAAGUUGACUCAUUAACGAUUAAUUUUUAUUAUCGACAAUUCACCCCUUGUACUUUCAACUCAUACCUUUUUCAUACUAGGUGCCUCAUCUCUCCGAUCUUUAAUCAAAUUGAGAAACUUCAAUAAAGUUUCUUUAGUAAUCAUUAGCCACGUCAAUUAUAUAACCUUCCCGAUCUCUAUAACCGCAUCCCAUUUUAAGUAAAAAAAACGCCCAAUGUAUAUCUCUAACCUAACUACAUUCACAUGACAGCCGAAGGUAGUGUGAAAAGAAGAUAUCAAGAGAAGCAACGACUCUUAAAAAAAAGUCCUUCCUUAUUCUUCAGGAGAAUCAAUUCUUUCCAAGGAUCAAAACCCUUGGGUUGACAAGCCUUCACCGUGUAUCUUAGUAUAAAUUCUCCUUGUAAAAUCAUCCCUGGAUAUACUUUGAUCGAACCAAAUAACUCUUUUCAUUCCAUUGCAAACAAGCAUAGUAGCCUACAUAGAUCUGUUGUGUAACAAAUCAAGGAUAGAAAGAGGAUACAAAACUGGUAAGGCAUUGUAUCGAACGAGUGCUAGAGAACUUAAGUGAUAUACAUCACAUAUGUACUCGAAAGAAAACUCAUUUGCUUGACGAGAACUCCUAAGGCAUUUUAUCGAACGAGUGCUAGAGAACUUAGCAUAUACAUCACAUAUGUACUUGAAAGAAAACUCAUUUGCUUGAAGAGAACUCCCUUGCAACCCAAGGGGACUGAAUUAGGAUUCACAUUGAAUCUGAACGAGUAUAAAAGUCCUGGUUUCUUUAAUUCAUGCAUUUACUUUCUGUACAUUACUUUCAGAUAUUAUGUCUGCAAUACUGUCUUAUUCAGUCAACUAUUAUAGUUAUAAGUCGACUUAUUAACGAUUAAUUUUCAUUAUCGACAAUUCACCCUCCCCCCUCCCCCCCGGUCUUGUAGUUUCAGUUGGUAUCAGAGCAAGGCUCGCAUUUUUGUUUUCUGCUUAGCAGCUUGUGAGAAAAAUAUCAUGGAAAAUCCGGUUAUCAUAGGAGCUCUUUUUAAGGAAAUUCACAAGUAAGAGCAUCUUACUUCAAUGGACAACAUUUCUCCCACUGGAAGCUUCGAAUGAAAAUCUUCACCAAAGCAUAUGAUGUUAAAGUAUGGAGAGUUAUCAAGAAGGGAAACUACCCACUGCCUGCCAACACUCCACCGCUCGCUGACCCUGAUGAUAUAAACUCAUACUCAAAGGAGCAAUUGGAAGCUAUGCAAAUAAACAGCAAGGCAAGAAAUCUGCUGCACAAUGGAAUAAGUGGUGAAGAAUAUGAAAAAAUAUCAAGCUAUGAUAUAGCCAAAGAAAGGUGGGACAAACUUGAGGUUACCUAUGAAGGUAACAGCAAAGUAAAGGAAACUCAUAUCAAUAUGCUAGUUCACGACUAUAAGCUAUUCUCAAUGAAGGAGGGUGAAUUCAUUGAAGAAAUGUUUGCCAGAUUCAGUAAGAUAAUUAGUGACUUAAAAGCUUUUGGCAAACCAUACACCAGAGGAGAUCAGGUUAGACAAAUUCUCAGAAGUCUACCAACCACUUGGCAGACUAAAAUUGUCACACUGGAAUCUCAAGAUCUUAACAAAUUAUCAUAUGAUGAACUACGAGGAGAGCGCAUUGCUUUCGAAAGAACGCAUCUGAAGAGAACAAAUCAAGAGGAGAAAAAGAAAAUUGUUGCAUUCAAAACCACUGCUGAAUCACCUGAAAAUGAAAUUGAUGAUCCUGAAGCUCUACAAGAAGAAAUUGCUAUGAUGUCUAGAAACAUGGAUGGCCUAAUGAGAAGAUAUAGAAACACAAAGAAAGGAAGAUUCCCACCAAGAAGAUCAAGACAAGAACGAUGGAAAAUUCUACGAAUGUGGAAAGUUUGGACACAUCCAAGCGGAAUGUCCAAAAAAAAGGAAGAUCUCUAGAGGUUUCAACUAGAACAAAUCAUUUCGAAGCUGGAGUGAUGAGGAUGACUCAUACCAUGAAGAAAUAGCAAAUCUUUGUUUUAUGACAAUUCUAGAAAAUGAGAUUAACAAAACUUCGGGAUGCUGGACAGAUGAAGAUGAUUCAGACAAUAAAAACUGUUUCAUGGCACAAGGAGAAACUAGCGAGGUAAAAUCUUAUGACUGUGAAAGACGGAAUGAAUUGCAGGAAAUUCUUGAUUCCACCUUAAAAGAGUCUCAAAAAAUGAUGAAUGAGCUUAAAAGACUCACUAAGGAAAUCAAAGACUGGAAACUCAAACAUGAAGUAUGUGAAAUCGAAAAAAAAGUACUUCAAAAGGAGUUUGAGGAAUUGCAAAUGCAACUUAACAGCUUGCGCAAAUUCACCAGUCACAGUUUUGUCAGGUCAAACCAGACGACUUACAUGUCAACUGGAAAAAAAUCAAUCAGAACUAAACCGACCAGUCGGUCGAACCAGUCGACUUGUAAGUCAACUGGAAAGGAAUCAACUAAUAUUAUGUUAGCCAGUUCCAACCCUUAUGGAACACCUGAAAAUAGGUUUGUAGCUAAAUGUCAUUACGUGGGCAUAAAUAUUUUUGUUGUCACUUUCUAAAUCCCAUAUGUCAUGAUGGGUUUGGAAAACAAAAAAUUCUGAACUUAGUAACACUAACUCGCCUGGACCCAAGCAAGCUUGGGUACUUAAAAGAAAGUGAUAAUUCUGUCUUGCAGGAACACCACAAAGUAAGCUGCAAAGGAAAAUGGUAUCUAGACAGUGCGUGUUCCAGUCACAUGACAGGUGACAAGAACAUGUUCAAGGAAGUUAAAAAGAUUGAUGGAGGAAGUGUCAAAUUUGGAGACGAUUCAAGCGGCAAAAUAGUUGGCACCGGAACUAUUCCUUUUAACAACAACUGUGACAUUACUGAGCUAUAUUUUGUUGAUGGGCUAAACUACAAUCUCCUCAGCAUAAGUAAACUUUGCGACUCAGGAUAUUAGGUAAAAUUUAAAAGAACAUGAUGUGUCAUCGAAGAUGAAUGAGGUAAAAUAAUUCUUCCGGGAAAAAAGUAUGGAAAUGUUCAUAUUCUUGAUGGAUUCAAAAUAUAGAUGGUCACAUUUGCCUAAUCUCUAUAUUGAUGAUCCUUGGUUGUGGCACAGAAGACUAGGUCAUGCUAGCAUGCAUUUUAUUUAGAAAUUAUCCAAAUACGUAGUUAUUUGAUUGCCUAAACUGAAUUUCUCUAGAAAUCAUAUUUGUGAUGCAUGUCAGAUAGGUAAGCAAACUAGAAACUCUUUCAAAAACAAAGACAUGGUGUCUACUUCAAAGCCGUUGCAAUUACUUCAUAUGGACUUAUUUGGACCUACUAGAACUGCUAGCAUAGGAGGCAAGAAAUAUGUCUUUGUUAUUUUUGAUGAUUUUUCACGUUUCACCUUGGUAAUUUUCCUGUCUCAUAAAGAUGAAGCCCUAAGAAAUUUUGAAGUUUUCUGCAAAAAGAUUGAAAGAGAAAAGGGAUAUCUGAUCCCAAAAAUUCAAAGUGAUCAUGGAGGCGAGCUUGAAAGUAGAGCAUUGAAGACUUCUGUAACGAUCAAGAAUACAUUCACAAUUUUUCUGCACCACGCUCACCACAGCAAAAUGGAGUUGUGGAAAGAAAGAACAGAACUCUUCAAGACAUGGCAAGAACCAUGCUGUUAGAACACUCUCUGCCAAACCACUUCUGGGCGGAAGGUGUAAGUACUGCAUGUCACAUCCUCAACCGUUACCUCAUAAGGCCUAUUCUGAAAAAGACUCUGUAUGAACUCUAGAAAGGCAAUCAUCCAAAUAUCAGUUAUUUUCAUCCAUUUGAUGCAACUGCUUUAUCCAUAACAAUGGUAAAGAUAAUCUUGAAAAUUUUUAUCCAAGAACUAACGAAGGUAUUUUUCUUGGUUAUUCAUUCAACAUCAAAUCAUUUUGAGUUUAUAAUAAACGUACUUAAUGCGUAGAAGAAUCUGUUCGUGUUGUAUUCAAUGAAAAUAAUCCCUUGGUCGAGAAAGGAACUAGUGCAGGUGACGAAGAUCAAACUCAAGAAGCUCAGGACAAAGGAAAAUCACAGGGGUCAACUAACGUAACAGAAAUGAUCGAGUCGACUGAACCAAUCAGCAACAACUCUCCAUAUCAACAUAUGGAGGCGACUACAAACACUGUUCGACUAAAUGAAUGGAGGAGAGAACCUGAAUAUCCUCAGAAAUAUAUCAUAGGGGAUCCAAAUGAAGGAAUGAAAACCAGAGUUGCCCUCAAAAAAAAAAAGAAAAUAUUGCACUGAUUUCUCAAAUAGAGCCAAAAAUGGUAGAGGAAGCUUUGAAGGAUACAAGCUGAGUACAAGCUAUGCAAGAGGAACUAGAUCAAUUCAGCAAGAAUCAAGUCUGGAAAUUAAUACGCAGACCUGAUAAUGUAUAUGUCAUCGCAACAAAAUGGGUAUUUAGAAACAAAUUGAACGAAGAUGGACAAGUCGUAAGGAGCAAAGCUAGGUUAGUUGCUCAAGGGUAUUCACAAUAAGAAGGAGUCGACUGUGAUGAAACCUUUGCACUAGUAGCGCGACUAGAGUCUGUACAAAUUUUGCGAGCAUACGCAUCUUUUAAAGGAUUCAGGUUGUUUCAAAUGGAUGUCAAAAGCACUUUUCUAAACGGAUUCAUCGAAGAGGAAGUUUUUGUGAAACAGCCUCCUGGUUUUGAAGAUUCAAAAUUUCCAUAUCAUGUAUACAAGCUUACUAAGGCAUUGUAUAGACUGAAAUAGGCUCCACGUGCCUCGUAUGACAGGUUAAGUACUUUUCUUGUUGAUCAUGGCUUUACCAGAGGUAAAAUAGAUAUUACUCGAUUCAUUAAACGAUCAACAAAAGGUAAUCUUAUUAUUCAAGGAAUUUGCAACCUUAUGCAAAGCGAGUUUGAAAUGAGCAUAAUAGGUGAACUCACGUUUUUCCUCGGGCUUCAAAUUCAACAAACCGAAGAAGGAACCUUCAUUUGUCAAACUAAAUAUACAAAGGAACUGAUUCACAAUAUUGGCAUGAGCAAUGCAAAAUCAAUUGGUACUCCUAUGAGCCCUACUAAAAAUUUGGACAAGGAUGAACAGGGUACUCCGGUUGAUGAAACAAAAUACAGAGGAAUGAUUGGAUCACUUCUAUAUCUGACCGCAAGUCGACCAGAUAUUAUGUUCAGCGUAUGCAAAUGUGCCAGGUUUCAGUCGGCUCCCAAUGAGUCACAUAUGACCGCUGUAAAAAGAAUUAUUCGAUAUCUUAUUGGCACAAUACCUCAUGAAUUAUGGUAUCCUCGUUCUAACUCUUUUAAAUUAGAAGGUUUUUCAGAUGCAGAUCUAGCAGGUGAUAAAAAAGACAGAAAAAGCACGAAUGGCACAUGUCAACUACUAGGAAAGGCUUUAAUUUCCUGGAACAGUAAAAAAGCAAGCAUCAGUCGCCUUGUCCACUUCUGAAGCUGAGUACCUUGCCAUUAGGACAAUGUUGUGCACAACUCCUAUGGAUGUCUCAUCAAUAGGGUGACUAUGAACUUUCUUUUAAACCUAUACAAACUUUUUUUGAUAAUUCCAGUGCAAUUUGUCUUUCAAAAAAUCUUGUGUAUCAAUCUAGAGCAAAGCAAAUAGAUUAAACAUCAUUUUAUUAGAGAUCAUGUUCUUAAAGGUGAAAUAGAACUAGCUUUUGUUGGCAAAUCUGCUCAAUUAGCUGAUAUUUUUACUAAACCUUUGUUGGAAGAAAGAUUUUGCACUUUGCGAAAAUUACUUGAUAUAAUUUGUUUUUCUAGCAAGAUCGGUUUCCUCAAGUAGAUGAACAUAUUCCCUCGCUAUCACUUUUUAUAGAGGGUUAAUGAUAAGUUGGUAUUUUACCAACAAGUUGGUAAUUUACCAACUUAUCGUCUUUAAGACUAUAUUUUUGCUAAGUUUGAGUGAUAAAUCAUGUGUUCAAUGUCAUUUACUUCUAUCUUAUAGGUUCUCUGUGAUUUAGAAGUGACCAUGAAGAAACCAAGUGAAAACGAGUCAAAAAGACGUUGAAAAGAAGAAAAUCUGGAAAAUGAGCUAAGGUGUAGCAAUUGUGACAUAUUUGUGGGACCUGCGAAGAAAGCAAACAUGACAAUUGCGGGUAAUCCAUCGCAUUUGCGAAGUAAGCCAGUCAAGCUGUGUUAACAAAUGCGAAGAAGACUUCGCAAAUGCGAAGUCAAACCAGACAGUCAACCUUCGCAAAUGCGAAAUCUUGAUUGCAAAUGCGGAAGUCAACAGGAUAGUCAAAGUUCGCAAUCGCGAACUUUUUGCAAAUGCUUAUAUUGCGUUUCAGUUCAGGGCAAUUAUGUCAUUUCAUAUUUUUUGGCCCUAAACCCCUUUUAUACACGAUUUAGCUCAUUUUGUAAAGUAUCUUUGGCUUAUUUCAGUCUCUUAGACAAGAGAGAACAAGUUUGGAAGCUAGGGUUUGCACACGCACUUUGGUCUUGAAGAUUUUAAGUUUUUGGUUGAGAAUUUCUUACCCAUUUAUGUUCGUUUCUUCAUUUCCAUGCUUUGUAUUGUCCAUCCAAGUGUAUAGUAAUUUAUCCAACACUUGAAUCUUGUUUAUGGAAAUAUCCAUGUUUAAAGUGUGGAUUAAAUACCUUGUUGUGCUUAUGUAUUGAAUGGUUUUUUAUCUUUUAUGAAGUGAGUUAUUGUUUUCUUUAAUUAUUCUUGUUCUUUAAUGUUACCAAAGCAAUUAGCUAACCCUAGGACUCGCCAUUAACUUCAAAUUAAUUUUGGGAUAAAUUAUUUGGAAUUAGGAAAGAUUAAUUAAUAAGAACUUGAGGCUUUAACCCUCAUUUUAUAGAUUCUACCUACGUAUAGCAUUGAACUACUUGUAGCCUUAUCCGGGUGUGCUUAAUCUCUUAAUUGUUUUAGGGAUAGUUCAAUUAGAAAGUCUUGUUGGUCUUCGGAAAAAACUAAUAUAGAAUUAUUACCCGAGACUAAGUAACAUAAACUCACUCAUAUUUGUAAAAUCAUAAAAUACAUUGUAUCGUCACUUGAGUGUAAUUCUCAAUGCAUCCAUAUUUGCAGUUAUUGAUCAUUUUACUUGCUUUCUCAGUUAGUUUACAUUUUCGCAUUUAGAUAUAAAUAUUUUCAAAAACCAAUUCUAAGUGUUUGGCAUUGGAUAACAAGUAUAUUCUCUUACAUUCCUAAUUGCCAACAUAUCGUUCUCUGUGAGAUUUGACCCCGACUCAUAGUUGGGUAAAUUAUAUUACAUGUGACCGUAUCCAUUUACUUUUUAGUAGUGAAUUUGGACGUCAUCAGUUAACCCACGUUUUGAAGAAUCUAUGCACUCCAAAUGCUUUUCAUCACUAAGUAGGUAACAUAUUUUCCUAUUAAGAAAUCAUGAUGACAUAUGUCGGUAUAUCCAUAUCUAGAGUACAAACUAAUCUCUCAAACUCCAUAAAAGGUCUCGCCUUUACCUAUUAGGAAGGAAGUGAUCCACAAACAACUUAGGGGACGUUUGGUUGGAAUAGGACUUACGCCGGUAUAAGUUAUGCUGGUAUAAGUUAUGCCGUGAUUAGUUAUGCUGGAAUUGUUAUUUAUUCACUGUUUAGUAUGUUGUAUUAAGAAUGACAGUUGUAUAAUUUCUAAGAAGGAGGUAUAAGUUUACUCCACCCUUUGUAAGGUACAAGUUAUCCCGGUGUUAAAAUUAACACCGAGAUAAUUUAUACCUAGUUUGCUAACUAAACAAAGUAUUAAGGUAGUAUUAAACUUUUAUGCCACCCUUAUACCUUCUAAUACCCCAUACCAAACGACCCCUUAGUGAACCCAUCCCAUGUAUCACCACUAUUGCAAGUUUUCCUACCAUUAGAACAUACUCCAUGUUUCCGGUCUAUAUGGCAUUAGCUUCACGGACCUCAUCAGAACAUCCUAGAGCUCGUCAUGCCUCUAGUAUAUUACCCUAUACAUGACGGUCCUUUAGACUGUAACCCAUUAACUUAUGAUGGUUUCAAAUGUACUAAUGUUAUUAAGGAUACACCUAAUUCCUAGUAGUCUAAGUACAUUGAUUAGCUUUCUCCUACAUACCCAUUUUGUCCUUUAAGCUCUCUAGAUGUAAGUGUCUCGCGGUAACACCCUCAUUUAAGGGUAGGAUAGGGACUAGCACUCAUUUCAAGACCAAGCUUCCUUUCACAUCUCUUGGUGACAAAAUGACCUAUCAUGUUGGCACCACGAGCCUUAAAUUAGCCAUGUCUGUGAACUUCUAUCUCUUCCCCAAGCUAGGAAGACGGCUUCCUACCUGAGGCAGUAUUUGGUACCUCCUAGACUUCUAUCGUAUUUCUGACAUUUGAAGAUUGACUCGAAGCCAUCUAAUUUUCAAUAAAAAGAGUGUUCAAUUCAUAUAGUUGACGCUAAUUGUGACACACUGAGAAACAAGAAAGGAGGGAUGUAAUAUAUCACACCUUUAUAGUAUCACAAUUUGGAAAAUGGUCGGUUACAUAAUCAUAAUUGAGAUUUUACUGCGUACCAACCUGUGAUCAAUUCAUCGAAGAAUAACCUAGACCUUUAGUACCAACAUUGCCACGGCCCACUAAGAAAUCAAUCUCUCUCUUAAGUAGUAGUCCAUGAAAAUCCUCUAAAAUUACAUCUAAGAAAAACUUUAAUUGCAAGAAUGGUUCCCACAUCAAACUACUAUAGCCCCUGUUUACUUAAACACCACUAGAGAACUCUAAUAAUUUUUUUCAAGUAAUUGCCUUCCACCCAUAAAUGAUAAAAGAUACUCGGGGGUAGAUCCCUUGUCGCCCCAUAUAACAAAGCCUGGUUUGGUUGGUAAGUAGUAAGCAACCUUUAACUUAUAUUCAACAUUAAACCUCAAAUUCAAUUUUAAUGUAUAAUUCAAAUUCAAAUUCAAUUUUAAUGUAUAAUGUAGUUAAAUAAUAGUAGCAUAAACAGCUUAAGCCUAUAGUUUUGAAAACAAAUUUGACCUUACACGAAAAUCAACAAUAAUGAAUAAUAGCAAACCAUCCCAAACUAAACAAGUGAAAGAGCAAUUAUUUUUAAAGGAAAUACAAUGUCUAACUCUCGUACUUCCCCCUAAAAAUGGGUAAUCUAAAAUUCUCUCUGACUUGGGAAACCUGGCUUCUUUUUGAUUUUUAAGAGUUUGGACUGAGUAUGAAAUAUUUUAGAACAAUUAGGGGAUAAAUUUCUAAAAACUUAGUCAGUGAGUCGCAAUCAUGUCAGGUGCUCAGAGCCCUACUUGUAGCUAUCGCUACAUUGUAUAUAUAAGGUAAAAGUUUACCUCUAUAUAUUAUAUUUUAAAUUUCUUGGCAUAAAUCAGAAGCAUAACUUAGUAAUCAGGAGGGGUUCAAAACCUAUGUAAGGUUUAUUCUAUUCUUGCUAGCUACAAUCUUUUUAAAUUUUUUUCUUUUUGAAACCCCUUUACUGAAAUUCUGCCUCCGCCACUGCGACCACAGUUCCUACAUCAAAUUUUCCUAGUUUUCUUAUGUUGCAUCCAAAUUAAUCUUCAAAACAUAAGUAUCUGAACCAUGGUGUUUUAUAUGUGAUUGAUUGCUUUCACAUGUGUAUAUUAUAUUUUUAUGUGUUUGGAUUGAUAUUUGGAAUAUGUUUUGCAUCCCUUGGCAUAGAUCAAAAGCAUAGUUUAGUGAUCAUGGGGGUUCAAAACCUAUGUACGUUUUACUCUAUUCCUGCUAGCUACAAUCUUUUUUAAAUCCCUUUACGAAAAUUCUACCUCCGCCCCUGCAACCACAGUUCCUACAUCAAGUUUUCCUAGUUUUUAUGAGUGUAAUUAGCGGAUUCGUCAACAAGAAAAUCACUCUAAAACAAUCAUCUAAGGGCAAUUGAGAGUAUAUUAAAUUAAAUUAUUGUAUUUUUCGAUCUUUUUGACUUACUCCUAUUAAUCUAAAAUCAAAGCCAUAAACCUUUAAUUCAACCAUUAUAUAACACCAAACGACACAAAUUCCAAACAUCAAUCUAAAACACAUAAAAAUAUAAUAGGCACACGUGAAAGCCAUCAAACAAACGGACAUCACAUAUGAAACACCAUGGUUCAGAUACUUAAAAAACUAUGUGAAGACUAACCCUAAUAUAUCAGAAUAUUAAAAAAAAAUUACCCAGACAAAUGGAGUUGCGUACCCUUUAAGGACUCUAGCUAGUGGGGAACACGAUCCAUGACCUCAUCAGCAAAGUAAUAGCAAGACCCACAAACAGAUUAAUCAGUCGUCUGAUUCUCCGGUAGCAGAAGCCGUCGCCGAACUCCGCUGUAAACCGCCAUAGCUACAAUCUAAGAUAGUAUUUUGUCAGCUUACUAAGGAUUAUUUUUGGGAAAAGUAAAAAUUAAAAGAGGAUAGAGCUCGGAUCCGACAAGUGGUCUCUUUACUUCUUGGUGGCUUCACACAUGUCGUCAUUCUUAUCCAUUUGGAGCUCCACUUACCACACAGAGUCAGAUAGUCCAAUCUAUUUAUGCAUACGACAAAGUCUUGAGUAACG
rnacentral:lncRNA from 1 species